rnacentral:lncRNA from 1 species
UUUGCUGACUUUAAGUCAGGUUGCUGAAAUCUGACUCUCUUUUUGUAUCUAUUUCAAACUAUCAUAUCCUGAAAAGUUAUACAUUGGCUAUUUUAUAUUGCUAGCUCUGAUAUAUUUCUCCAUAGUCACUCUAGCAAAACCUUUGAUGAAUACUGGGCAUGCAAUAAAAACAUAGCAUUUUGAGCCAACAGUUACUAUAGGUAUAUGAAUAAAAUUCCACGAGAUGACCAGGAGGAUUAUUGAUCUUGGAUGUGAAUGGAAGAUCAGGCAUUCGAAACAAAAAACAGCAGGUAUAUGAGGGGAUGUAACCUCUGUCUACAAUUACAGCAGGAGAGAAGAACAGGGGCCAUAGGAAAGAUGGACUAAAAUGUCAGUGGAUAAGGCUUAGACUAACCCUAAGCGAGAUAUAAACACAGAAGAGCAUGAGCCCUGUAUGGUUUAAGAGGUGAUCAACUUACCGAGAGCUCUGACAGGUGCUCGGAGCUGUGUCUUCAUUUCUGGCCACAUCUGGGAUGGUUUCUUCAGGCAGCAACUCAAACCCUCUCCCUUCGUUUUCCAUCUGUUUCACCAUGAACCUGGAAAACUCAUCGGUGAUGCUCUCACAGCUGGACUGUUUGGAGACGGAGCUGGCCCUGCUAACUGGUUGGCUUAAGGUCACAGCUUGAGGCCUUCAGCCGGUUCCACCUAUCGCCACCCAGAAGCCGAGUCCGGGAACAACUCUGGCCUUGCCACACCCCAUCCACCAUGGAAAACUCUGUGAGGUUCAUGAUCUUGGCUGCCACUUCAUUGGCAAAGGGCAAAAUCUGUGAUGCCAUAGACCUCGGACUGCUUUGCCUCUAGAGUAGACUGAGCAGGAACAGACAGGUCAUCACCUAAUAAGGAUAGGUUAACUUGAGCUUCAUUGUUUAGGGGUGUGGCACAGAUGUAUUUCUCUUGGGUGUUUGGAACAAUGCUGUCUUCAGUUUCCUGGAAACCACUACAACCCUCGCUUGCUGUUGUCAAUUUUCCUAGGUCUGUAGAGGCUCUUCGUUCAUUGCUGUCAUAAUUUAGUGUAUGAUGAGGGUUCCUGGUAUCCUCUCCCAUAAUCCCUUUCAGAUAUAUUUCCUUGGGGAAUGACUUAGCAGUUGAAUCAAACAUUCUAUGACUGCAGGAGAAUUCAGAUUGCAACCUGGGGUUGUUGACCAGUUCUGGCCUUGCUCCGCCCUUGUUUGACUUAGGAGAUGCAUCCUCUACAAGAUUCCUGAUGACAAGGCCAGUACCGUGUGCAUUGUGAGGGAUGCUCACUGAGUGUUACAAUGUGAUUCAUCUUUUUGAAUGUGAAGCAGAUCACAUUGUGCAGCAGCUGGUUCACACUUUCCAUCAAGGUGUCCAGAGUUCCACAGGGAUGCCUUUCAUCAGUGGGGUGAGCCAUUGUAGUUUUCUGGUGAAGUUCAUCCACGGAGUGCUUGAGGAUGACAUUGGACAAGGGAAGGGAAAUUGAGAAACACUGUUACUUCCCAGGGAGCAAACUCUAAUGGGCCCAAACUAACAACUACUUUCUAAACUUGCAUGCAGCUCUGGGGCUGUUGCAUCAGGUGGGAAGAGGAACACUGAGUUCUGUUACUGAGUCAAUGGAUGAAAAUGACUGCACUUUUCUGGGAAGCAGAGACUAAUGCAUCAACCAAGAUGACAUGGCUGGAAACCUUUCUCAUCAGUGUCGUAGUAAGGGGUAGGGUGAAUAACCUCGGGGGACACACUUGGUUUAUCAGCAACGUCUUACCACUUCUGCAGUCGUCCACCUCGAUUUCUUCCUCCAAAUGCUCGGAGGCUGUAAGAAAAUCUUCUUCAAUUGAAGACAGAGAACAGUUUGUAUCAUCCUCCAGCUUCAACACGUUCGUCUCCAGGUGGAGCUGACGCUCCUGCACUACUUCCAGACCAAUUAAGAACUUGUUGAUCUCAAAGAUGAUGCAGUUGGUACUGUUUGGUCUGUUCCCUCUUGCACACUGGACCAAGCAGAUAUCUGGUAGCCAAGGGCACUAAAAUCAGAUAGAAAAGAAGGCACUUCCUCAAAAUUGACUGGAAAAGACAAUGUUGGCAACCAUUUUCUCCUUCCCAACCUCUCCCGUGAAAAGGAGAGGGGCUCUUAAAAUUAUAUGAAGUAUCUUCAGAGCUCCUGCUCAUGAACUGUUUUUUUUAAAAAAUCAUAUGGCAUUUCGGAAUGUGGCACACCUAGAAGGAAGUUUUACUUAAAAGAAAACAACCAGCUGUAUCAUAUAUUUGAGGUUUUUCUCAUGAAAGCAGAAAUAAAAUGUACUGUUCUAACUUGUACAGGGAAUUAAAAUGGCAACAACAACAACAACAACAGCAAAUGACAAGAAGAAGAGUAGUCUCUAAGUGAAAGCUCUAGAAGCUAGCAUGGUUAAUAUUUUGCUAAAGCAUAGAGCAGAUGACUACUGCUCUGCUCCCACAUGAGAGACUUCCCUAAGCCUCCUGGGCUGACAUGACUGCAUCCUAUGCUACUUGUUGUACCCCAGCACUACAGUAAGUACUUGUUUGGACAGCUUGUUGGGUAUUAGGGAGAAUGCUGUGAGAUGCUACUUCAUUUUGACUU